GACAGAGGGUGCAACCGUUGUUCGGAAUUACUGGGCGUAAAGCGCGUGUAGGCUGCUCUGCAAGUCGGGUGUGAAAGCCCCGGGCUCAACCUGGGAAUUGCAUUCGAGACUGAAUAGCUAGGGUACGGUAGAGGGAAGCGGAAUUUCCGGUGUAGCGGUGAAAUGCGUAGAUAUCGGAAGGAACAUCAGUGGCGAAAGCGGCUUCCUGGACCAGUACCGACGUUCAGGCACGAAAGCGUGGGGAGCAAACAGG
rnacentral:rRNA from 1 species